rnacentral:rRNA from 1 species
CCUACGGGUGGCAGCAGUGAGGAAUAUUGGUCAAUGGACGAAAGUCUGAACCAGCCAUGCCGCGUGCAGGAUGACGGCUCUAUGAGUUGUAAACUGCUUUUGUAAGAGGGUAAACCCAGAUACGUGUAUCGGGUUGAAAGUACUGUACGAAUAAGGAUCGGCUAACUCCGUGCCAGCAGCCGCGGUAAUACGGAGGAUCCGAGCGUUAUCCGGAUUUAUUGGGUUUAAAGGGUGCGUAGGCGGUUUGAUAAGUUAGAGGUGAAAUGUCGGGGCUCAACCCCGAAACUGCCUCUAAUACUGUUAGACUAGAGAAUAGUUGCGGUAGGCGGAAUGUAUGGUGUAGCGGUGAAAUGCUUAGAGAUCAUACAGAACACUGAUUGCGAAGGCAGCUUACCAAACUAUAUCUGACGUUGAGGCACGAAAGCGUGGGUAGCAAACAGGAUUAGAUACCCGAGUAGUC